GGGCCUCUAGCUCAACUGGCAGAGCAACGGACUUUUAAUCCGUGGGUUGCGGGUUCGAUCCCCGCGGGGCCUA
rnacentral:tRNA from 1 species